rnacentral:rRNA from 1 species
AUACGGAGGAUACAAGCGUUAUCCGGAUUUAUUGGGUUUAAAGGGUGCGCAGGCGGACUAAUAAGUCAGAGGUGAAAUUUUGCAGCUUAACUGUAAACGUGCCUUUGAUACUGUUAGACUAGAGUUUAAGGGACGUAACUGGAAUGUGAUGUGUAGCGGUGAAAUGCAUAGAUAUAUCACAGAACGCCGAUCGUGAAGACAGAUUACGAACUUAAUACUGACGCUCAUGCACGAAAGCGUGGGGAUC